CGCGCAGGCGGUCGUACAAGUCGCGUGUGAAAGCCCCCGGCUCAACUGGGGAGGGUCACGCGAUACUGUUCGACUCGAAGGCAGGAGAGGGAAGUGGAAUUCCCGGUGUAGUGGUGAAAUGCGUAGAUAUCGGGAGGAACACCAGUGGCGAAGGCGACUUCCUGGCCUGUUCUUGACGCUGAGGCGCGAAAGCUAGGGUAGCAAACG
rnacentral:rRNA from 1 species